ensembl:lncRNA
CGUUAAACCCCGGCCGGCACCUUCAGAAUUGGUGAAGUCGUGAAACUUUUAAUAAGGGUGAAAACGAGGGUUUGAAAAUGAGUCCAACAAAUGAGGCUAUUUUCCACAUUACCACCGAUCGGGAUAAAGCAGGGCUUGAUGUGAAAUACAUUAAUACAUUCAAAGGCAGAGAAGUGUUUACUUCACUAAAGGAGAAUUUAUGCUGAAAUAUAGAGGAGACCUAAUCAACUCUCUGGAAAGUAAAAGAAGUCAACGAGUUUACCACAACAACAUGAAAGGAUUUAGGUUCAACUUCAUCUAGCACGGAAAAUUCUGGACUAUUGAAGCUGCAAGGGAUGAUGACUCUUGGAAGAUGAGCACAUUAACUCCAAUUGCAAAAUGAAGAGAAUCAUUGUGAAAGGAAAGCCCCAUUUGUGCUUUUUUGCUUUAAGAGACAUAACACCUGGAGAGGAGAUCGCAGGCUAUAAUUACGGAGAUGCUGAUUGUCCCUGGAGGAGUAAAGUAAGACUGUUGCUUCUUGUAGUAAUCGUGGAUAAUUGUGGAUGUGGACACUAAUCGUCUGGAGUCAGGUGGUACCUCUGGAGAUGAUACCCAGUG